UUAAUUCUUCCAUAAAGUAGAGAACUUUUACUUCUAACUUCUAAGGAGGGUUUUAGAUGCUUAGCUUCGAUGUCGGUUAUAGGAUCCGUUUACAGAAAUAGAGGGUAAGUGAGUGUCUGUUCUAUUUGUUUUGGAUGGCAAUUUAGCUUAAGAGACAAACAGUCGGGGGAGGGCAAGAUGGUUGCUCCAUAUAUUGACUCCUUUACCUGCAUUUAUACUGUUGUGCUAACAUUUUUUCAUUUUCUGUUAUGUAGCUGAAGCAGCUUGAGUGUUUUAAUCAGUUGUAUAUAUCACCCAGUUUACCCGUUCCUACUGCUGCUCAACAGGGACAAGUUUCACAGCAGGUGCUGUUUCAGAUUUUGUGUAUCUCAUUUUGGAAGUGAUUCAUAGGUGCUCUGUAAAGAAAAACAUGACUGGAGGAAUCAUUCCCAGAUCA